AAUAUUUUGUCUGAUAGAAUUAUUCUUUUGUGUCAUUCUUGUAAUUUCUUAGAUCGCCCGGGUCCAUCUAGUGCUCCUCCAGGACAGAAUCAAAGAUAGAACCUCGCUCUCCAUCACUGUACUAGGAAGCAGCUGAUUCGGCUGAAGCUCUGCAAUCUUCUCUGCAGAGUUACAAAUGUAAACUUUAUAUUCAUGUUAUUUAAUUUUGGAUGUAUAAAUUAUUCUGUUAUCAGAUUA